rnacentral:rRNA from 1 species
UGCGUAGGGGGCAAGCGUUGUCCGGAUUUAUUGGGCGUAAAGCGCGUGUAGGCGGCCAGGUAGGUCCGCUGUGAAAACCCGAGGCUCAACCUCGGGACGUCGGCGGAAACCAUCUGGCUAGAGUCCGGCAGAGGAGAGUGGAAUUCCCGGUGUAGCGGUGAAAUGCGCAGAUAUCGGGAGGAACACCGGUGGCGAAGGCGGCAUCCUGGACCGGCAUUGACGCUGAGGCGCGAAAGCUAGGGGAGCAAACGGG